rnacentral:rRNA from 1 species
AGAGUUUGAUCCUGGCUCAGGACGAACGCUGGCGGCGUGCUUAACACAUGCAAGUCGAACGGAAAGGCCCUUUCGGGGGUACUCGAGUGGCGAACGGGUGAGUAACACGUGGGUGAUCUGCCCUGCACUUUGGGAUAAGCCUGGGAAACUGGGUCUAAUACCGGAUAGGACUACGCGAUGCAUGUCGUGUGGUGGAAAGCUUUUGCGGUGUGGGAUGGGCCCGCGGCCUAUCAGCUUGUUGGUGGGGUGAUGGCCUACCAAGGCGACGACGGGUAGCCGGCCUGAGAGGGUGUCCGGCCACACUGGGACUGAGAUACGGCCCAGACUCCUACGGGAGGCAGCAGUGGGGAAUAUUGCACAAUGGGCGAAAGCCUGAUGCAGCGACGCCGCGUGGGGGAUGACGGCCUUCGGGUUGUAAACCUCUUUCACCAUCGACGGAGGUCCGGGUUUUCUCGGGCUGACGGUAGGUGGAGAAGAAGCACCGGCCAACUACGUGCCAGCAGCCGCGGUAAUACGUAGGGUGCGAGCGUUGUCCGGAAUUACUGGGCGUAAAGAGCUCGUAGGUGGUUUGUCGCGUUGUUCGUGAAAUCUCACGGCUUAACUGUGAGCGUGCGGGCGAUACGGGCAGACUUGAGUACUGCAGGGGAGACUGGAAUUCCUGGUGUAGCGGUGGAAUGCGCAGAUAUCAGGAGGAACACCGGUAGCGAAGGCGGGUCUCUGGGCAGUAACUGACGCUGAGGAGCGAAAGCGUGGGGAGCGAACAGGAUUAGAUACCCUGGUAGUCC